GCCUUGUAAAUGAUUGAAAAUAGUUUGACGCCUAACGAGCUAGGUGGAGGCUUGGGAAAGGAAGCGGGUCAAACGAAUCAAGAAUGAAGGGAAGAGCAUAAUUCGGAUGCAAGGUAAGUAUAGCUUACACUAGUCUUAGAUUGUGUAAUAUUCCCUUAGCGUAUAAAUAACGAAUGGAAUAACUAAACAAUUAAAAUACGAUGUUCCGUCGUGUAGGCGUACGGAACUAGAUAAUCAAGGAUGAAAGAAACCAUAAUAAUGGUUAACAAGGAAGUAAAUUGAUAAUUCGGUCAUAUUAUGACGAAAGUGGUAAUAAAAGGUUUAUAAGUAAAAAUGACCGUACCGUGUUAAACGGAGCGGGUCAUGUAGUUGAGAUGAUAAUAAAUAUCAUCUCAAAAAGACAAACGGUCAAUUCGGCCAAACGGGUCAAAAGGUGUAGACAUCACCUUUUAACAAUAUUGACUAAUGAUCUUUUGUCAAGUUAUAUGCUUACAGGAGUAGAAAUCCAAUGGGUACUCGCAUCGCUCUUACUUAGCGAUUAAAAAGCAAGGUAUUUAUAAAUCGGGUCUACUUGUUGAUCCGGGCCAGGUACAUUUUGGAUGCCGGAAGACGAUCAAGCUCAAUGAAGAACCGAACACGAUAAAGACUCAUGCUUCCGCACAUUGCCUCGUUGUAAAUUUUAACGACGAACACAAUCACGUUGGUAGAAUAGCUUAUGAAUUGUAAAAGUUUUAAUUUACUCGGAAUUUCCUAAGGAUACUUAACACUAAAUACAUGUCUGUAUUCGUAAUUUAUACGAAAACCUUUAAUAUAAUAAUUAGAGUGUUACA